rnacentral:tRNA from 1 species
UGGCUCAGAGGUUAAAGCGUCUGCCUGGAAUGCAGGAGCCCCGAGUUCGAUUCCUGG